AUAAUUGAGCCGAAAGGCUGCCGUGAUAUAACUAAAAUAUAACAUGUGAUACCAACUUAUACAUAAGACAUACGGGCCUAUAGGACCAAAAUAACCACUCGUAUACUAAACAUAGACCGACAAGGCCAUACAAUCCUUUACGUAUAUGACAUCUGUCUACAAGCCUCUAAGAAUACAUAAUUUCAAAAAGGUCGGGACAAAGUCCCGCCAUACCAAACAGUACACGUCUAAAUCAUACUAACCAAACAAGCAACUCCGAAACAAAUGGAGCGCAUCAACAUCUUCCGUUGAGCUGAUAGCCUACUUCAAGGGCUCUUGACCUAUCUAUCAGGACCUGCGGGCAUGAAACACAGUGUCCCCAGGCAAAAGGAUGUCAGUACAAAUAGUGUACCGAGUAUGUAAGGCACAUAAAUAAGUACGUAACAAACAUGGAAGAAAUACAGAGUAAAUGACUCAACUUGUAAGUCUGGAUAACUCUGUAAUUUAUGAAAUAAUUAUAGUGUCAUGCAUAUUCUUAUGAAUGUGAUGUCGUGCAUAGGUACAUGUUUCAUAAUAUCAUCAGGCCUCUAUGGGUAUCCCAUCAUAUCAGCUCAGCCACUAUGGGCAAAAUCAUCAACGUAUAUCAGCUGAUUAGGUGGUGGUGCGUAUAUAACGUCAUAACCUAUCCCAUAUCCCAUAUACAUAUAUAUAUAUAUAUGCAUAUAUAUACACGUAUAUAACGUCAUUUGGUCAUGGGUCAAUGUGCAUGUAUAAAUGCAUGAAAUACAUAUGAAAUACAUUUAUAAAAUCUCUCGAUACGUCAUAAGACCAUUAUGACUCUAAUUAAUAUCAUAAAAUAAACUUUACCAACUUACGUAUUUUUGAGACCCAUGAACAGAUGAUAAAAUAAUAUGACACAUGGGGAAUCAAGAACAUAAUUAUCUCUAGUAUUUCUAUGAAUAGAGUCGUUUAUGGAAGUUGUACAUUUGUUUGUUUCGUUCGUGUCAUAUAGAUCAUGCCAAAAAGAAAGAAGGGAGAGCAUUAACAUACCUGGAGUAGGGAAAAAUCCAUAUGAUAUUCUUGAAAAAGGUUACACCGUACUCCUUUAAAACCGCAAAAUUUUACAUUGCUAAGGUUCUAAUAAUUCUUGUUGGAAUUGCUAACGUUCUGAUAUGAAAUGUUGUAUUCCAAAUAUGAAGUGUUGCUAUUUGGAAAAUGAAUUCACGUUCCUAUGCUCCUUGGAUUAGAAUGUGACUGUAUCGUAAUGUUCUUGGCAAAAAUUUUCUAAGGGAUUAGAAAUGGAAUUGAGUUAGGGAAUUAUCCUUAACUUUAGGUGGCUCUCUUUAAUUAAUGUUUGGUGUCACAUUUCUUUCUAAGUGUGACACCUUGCAUCCUUUAGAACUUAGUCAUUAAAGGGAAAGGGGUUACUUGCCACGUUGGGGGAAGAGUUAAAUCUUAUCCCACUCUUUAAUUAAUUUUCCAAUAAUUAAUCAAUUGCCCACAUAAUUAAAAUUUAUCUCAAAUUACUUAAAAACUACUCACUUUUAACACCCUUUAUAUACCUUACUAUCUUGGUCAUGUGGUACCUUGUAUGGCACUAGUCCAUGAAUAUGGGGUAUUAUAGCUUGGACCGUAUUUUAUCCCCAAAUUGUCAAACUUCGACGGAACUCAUUUUCUUCAAUUUGCUUACCCUCUCACCUUCACGAAUUAACUUAUCACUUGUUCGAAAUAGCGUAAUACUUAUAAUCCCAAAAUAAAUCUCAUUCUUGAACUUAUGUCGAUUAACUUACGACAAAACCUUAACGUACGAAAAUACGGAAUGUAACAUCUCAUUUCUGAGCUUAUAUCAACUUACUUAUGGCGUACUUCCAUGUACAAAAACAUGGGGUGUAACAUGGAUGAUGAUGGAAAUUGGCUUGUUUUCCAGCUGAAAAUAAUAGCACAGUUACUGGCCAUUGAGAGUAAUCUCCAUCCAGGACGCCGGCGUGUGGUCCUGUGGUGGUGGGGUGGAGGUCAAAAUGAUUGGAGGUUUGGAGGCGUUUCCAUUUUUGGUUUUUUUUGCUUAACAUUUUUGGACUACUAUUAAAUGGGGGUUAUUGGGGGUAAUAAAGGGGAAUGGCUGGUGAUGGGAUUGGAUCGACGCCUAUGGUAGCUGCUUCGUAACCUAUGUCUAAUACACUGGUUUUGGGAUUAAAGGAAAAUCUAGUUAAGUUGAUGGCUAUUGUCAAAUCAGUUAAGAUUUUUUGAUUUCUCAAAGAUGGAACUUGAGUUUCCAUGGAAGGAUUUUGCACAGUGCAUGUUGGUAGGGGAGAUGUAGCACAGUAGGAUUCAUCAUUUGGGUCUACUAGGGUGUCUUUGGGUUUGGGGUCGGCGUGGGCCUCCGCCUGAGUUAUUGUCAGACUCCCCUCUAGGCCCUUUGGGCUUGUUGACUUUGUGCUUCUGGGGAAGGGGGUAGGUAUUUUGCCUUUGGGGUGUAGGAACCUCGUCAUUACUAGGUGUUGGGUCUCUCCCCUCUGGGCCCGCUUUUUUUUGUACUUGUAUUGGGCCGGUCCCAUAUGCGAUGGCUCUUGGUGGGUUGAUUCUUCAUGGCGGGUGAGAUGUCUUUUGUGCUUUGAGAUGGGCUGGUGUCUUGCACAGAGUUAGUCUUGGAAUUAUAGCGAAAGGUUUGGGUUUUAAGGAACUUACCGGAGAUGGCAUCAGGCAUUCGAACUUGGAUGUCGUCCAAUUGGUCGGAAAUUUUGCCUUUCCUAUUCAGGUUCAUUUAUUGGCGUUGUUGUGUGGGGUGUCCUUGUUUGCGUCUCCUGGGGAGGAUACAAUUUUCCAUUCCUCAUUUUCGUCUCUAUUUGCUUUAGUAUUGGAGCAACCUUGGUUGUCCUGUGCCGUUGGUGAGUUGUGCCGGUGGUGAGUUGGGCUUUUUCCUGUUUGAAUACCCUCUUAGGGUGUGACCUAGUCUUCCACAUCCUAUACAUAGGACAUUCUCACCUUCAUAGACAAUCACUUGCUUGUGAUCACCAAUGGUGACAGAUGUUGUGACUGGUGAUUUCAGUGGAACUUGGAUGCAGAUUCUCGUAUAUAUCCCCCUUAGUGUUGCUGAGGUCACGUAUCAAUCUUGAGAAGCUUCCCAAGCUUCCUGCCAACUUUUUCUAGAACUUCUUUGUCAUAGAAUUCGGUGGGCAACUGGGGAAGUCGUACCCAUAUCGUAGUGAAAGAUACGGUGGCUUCUUGUGGGAUAAAUUUUGGUUCCCACCGUCUGACAGAGAGGAAACUUCUGGAUACGAACCAUGGGCCUUGGUGUAUAGCCUUGAUCAAUUUUCUUCCUUACCAAACUUGAUUAUGAAGAAGUCUCAUCCUAGGUCAAUUAAUUUGGAUCGAGAAGAUGAUGUGGCAUACGCUGGCCAAAAAGUUUAAUGAUGACCGAGAAGCGUCAUGGCUCAUAUAAUCUAUUUUUGUCCUCUUGGGAGAGAAGGAUAGGGCCUAGAUUUUCCUUACCCUUUAGAUCAUAUUCUGACUUUUCAAGAUCCGAUACAAAGUAGUCUAUUUGUGAGGUGUCCUGUUUGUCAAGAAGCAUUUCUUAGUGUGUUUGGUUGGUAUCUUUCUCCAUGUGGUUUGUAUCCGGUAGUUUCGGUGGUAUGUUAGGUAUUUUGGUUGUGUUUUCCAUUAGGUUGGGUGUAGUGAAAGAUGAGAGUCUCUAUCUCUAUGCAAAUGUUCCUCCUCCAAGUUGUUUGGUUUAAUAGUUGGAAUAACCUAAUGAAGAUUUAAGUUAACAAUUAACCUGGACAAACGAAACUGGUAAACCUCAUCAUUUUUCAGAUUUUCUAGUUGUCUAUACUUAUUCUAUUGUUAUGUGUACAACAUGCUUUAACUUACUCAACUAGCCUCCAUGACAGGCCUAUCGAGUAAGUUAAUCACAUGAAGAGCACAACUACAAUUAAUUCAAAUGAGCAAGAGCUAGAGCAAAGGAUUCUGUUUGUUCUCUUGGGAGAGAAGGACUAGGCCUAGAUUUUCCUUGCCCUUUAGAUCAUAUUAUGACUUUUCAAGAUUCGAUACAAAGUAGUCUGUUUCUGAGGUUUCAUGUUUGUCAAGAAGCAUUUCUUUGAGGAGUGUGUUUGGUUGGUAUCUUCCUCCAUGUGGUUUGUAUCCGGUAGUUCUGAUUGUAUGUUAGGUAUUUUGGGUGUGUUGUCCAUUGGGUUGGGUGUAGUGAGAUAUGGGAGUCUCUCUCUCUGCAAAUGUUCCUCCUCCAAGUUGUUUGGUUUAAUAGUUGGAAUAACCUAAUAAAGAUUUAAGUUAACAAUUAACCUGGACAAAUAAAACUGGUAAACCUCGUCAUUUUUUAGAUUCUGGUUGUCUAUAUUUAUUCUAUUGUUAUUAUGUUUAUAACAUACUUGAACUUACUCAACUAGUCGCUAUGACAUGUAUAUCAAGUAAGUUAAUCACAUGGAGAGCAUAAUUACAAUUAAUUCAAAUGAGCAAGAGCUAGAGCAAAGGAUUCUGCUUUACAUGUUCCUGAUACAAUCAAAAUAUAUUCCAAUUCAUACAAACGAGUGGUUGUAGACUGAUUCUAAUCAAACCAUUGAGUGUCAUUAAAUCACACUUGGAUUUGACUUUUAUGAAGAUUGUACAUAAUAAUAUGCAGGUCUAACUCAUUCCAAUCAUAGACUAAGUUUCUAUAAAUAUCACUUUAACUCAAAACCAAUCAACAUACCAUGAUUAUAACUAUAGCAGCACAAUCAAUAAACACGGCUAAACAUAAUUCAUAGCAACAGCGAUUGAAAUCAAAGAGGAUAGAAUUUCAAUAUUUACAUAAAUGUAUAAAAUUCAACACUUAAGGUUUUUGGAAGAAUACCUAGAUGCAGACCAAAACUGCAGAAUCGACCACACAAGGUUUGAAAAAGCAAGCACUGAAACUCAGCAGCAAAUACAACAAUUGACCAGCAGUUUUAAGAGUUUAAACACUUUUAAAAUCCCAGAAAUCAACAAGCUAAUCGACUGAAUCCUCUUUUUUCUUUUUUUUGAAUUUUUCCUUGAGCUCAGAAUUUAAAAAGAACAAAGUUUUGUUUUUUUCAGUGCAUGCCUAAAUCAUUUUCUAGAAUUCAGUGUAAUCAGUGUGUGUUUUUCAAUGUAUUUGAGAGGAAAAUGCUGAGUAUUAAUGUGUGUCUGUGAGGGAGUGUGAGGUCUCUUAUAUAGAGUGUAGGAGUGUGGUCUUGUGAGGGAAAAUGAGGGAGGAAUGCAUAAGAUUCUGUCAGCUAAAAAAUAGGAGAUAAGGCAUCUUUUUAACCAAAAAUGGACAGUGGUGCUUCAGCUAAUCUUUUUCUAUUUCUUUUUACCCCCCAACUUCUAGAUUUUACUCUUAAAUCCUCAGACAAUAAAUCCUUCUUACUUCUUUCAAAUUCAAUCACAACAAGACAAUCAAUCAGACCUAAAAAUCAAGCAAAAUUGACAAUUGAACCAAUUAAUCAGUUAAUCUAACAAAUCAUGCAAUUAAACAAGUCAUGCAAAACUGAAACUAUGAAUCAAUUUUCAAAAUUUUUUUUUAAGAAGUGACAUACUUCGAGAAGAAUAGAAAAUCAAUUGAUCAGUGAGGAAAGAAAAGAGAUAAAUACCUAUUAACCUUUAAGAUAAACGAACAUAGAACCCCGACGAAAUCUCAAUAAACAAACACGGCUCCGACCAAAAAUAGAAUCUCCGAGAUACGACGCGAAAUUUACAUCAACUUAUAACUCUCAUCAAGAGCUUUAAUUUCGACCAUAAAUGGAUGGGGGAACAGUUGAGUAAUUAGAAGAGGGAAAGGGUGGCUAGGGUUUAGUUUUGAGAUCUGAAAAUUGACGAGUUUGAGGAGGAAUUGGAGGAAACUACAAAUGGAUUUGGACUAGGGGAGGUUUGGGGAUUGCAAGGUGAAGGUUUGAGGGGGAUUGGUGGAGUGCCGGCGACAGCAGUAGUUUAGAAAUUCUAUGGCGGCUAGGGUUUGGUUGGCUAGAGAGGAUGAGG
rnacentral:lncRNA from 1 species